rnacentral:rRNA from 1 species
AGUACGACCGCAAGGUUAAAACUCAAAUGAAUUGACGGGGACCCGCACAAGUAGUGGAGCAUGUGGUUUAAUUCGAAGAUACGCGCAGAACCUUACCAACACUUGACAUGUUCGUCGCGACUUUAAGAGAUUAAAGUUUUCGGUUCGGCCGGACGAAACACAGGUGCUGCAUGGCUGUCGUCAGCUCGUGUCGUGAGAUGUUGGGUUAAGUCCCGCAACGAGCGCAACCCUCACUUCUAGUUGCCAUCAUUUAGUUGGGCACUCUGAAAGAACUGCCAGUGAUAAGCUGGAGGAAGGUGGGGAUGACGUCAAGUCCUCAUGGCCCUUACGUGUUGGGCUACACACGUGCUACAAUGGUAUCUACAACAGGAAGCAAAACAGCGAUGUUAAGCAAAUCCUUAAAAGAUACCUCAGUUCGGAUUGCACUCUGCAACUCGAGUGCAUGAAGCUGGAAUUACUAGUAAUCGUGGAUCAGCGUGCCACGGUGAAUGCGUUCCCGGGUCUUGUACACACCGCCCGUCACACCAUGGGAGUUGGUUCUACCUUAAGGCAAGGUUUAAUACCCUUGACCACGGUAUAGUCAGCGACUGGGGUGAAGUCGUAACAAGGUAACC